CUCUAAUCUCACCUAGACAUACAGUUGUAAGGUUUGAAAUUCAGAAUUACAAGUCCUCUCACAUUGUUCUUCUUUUUCAAGUACGUUUUGGUUACUGAGACCCUCGAAUUCCCAUAUGAAUUGUAGCAGCAGCUAGUCAGUUUCUGCAGAGGAGCCCGCAGGGAUUGUGAUCGAGACCACGUUGAAUAUACGGAUCGUUCUGGGGAGCACUGCCAUUCCAAGAGCACUGUCUUCUGAUCCAGCAAUGUGCGUGGUUUGUCUGUCCAGGUGCCCUCACCUCCAGUAGCAUCCAUCCAGACACCGGAACUGACACUGGCCGUGCUCAGAACUGCCUCAGCCCUGAAGACACAACUGACAAAUAGAAGGGGGCCACGCCCUGUUAGAGCAGGUGCUCUCACUUUGUGGAUCCUUAUGUAACUGAGCGGUGUCAAUCAGGAUUGCCCGUUUUACAUUGUGUGGCGCUGCUGCGGUGUCUCCUAGUUACUUGUUUCUUGUGAGAAUGCCGGUGACUGAGUUAGAAGCAUGCUCCCAAGCUGUCCGUGUCCUUGCCAUUCAGAAGCGGACCCUGGAAGCUUCCAAAUUUCUCCAGAAUGCGUUCUACAUUCACCUUCGGCAGGUGAGUGUAUGUCUUUACACAAGUGGAGGAAUUACUGCCGUUUUCCUGGAACUUACUCACCACUAGUCCAUCUGAUUUUUCUGUGCUAGGAUUCAGUAUGGCCUGCUAAAAUAUCUGGAGUCAGAUCUUGAAACACUGAUGAAGAGGAUCAUUUAUUUUAUUUCUAUAUAUGAUAGCCUUUUACUUUCAAAAUUCAGAAUUUUUGGU